CAGAAUAAAUAUGUUAAACUCACUUACAAUUGCAAUUGCUAAACACACUAACUUGCACACUUAGUUCAACACUGAUUACAUUCACAUGCAGUGAGGAGUUCAUGUAGUGGGGACACUGUGACCAAAAUUAGCUGAGAGGCAUGAGACGAGCGAAUGAACCUGAGGGUGGAGAUCUGCAAAAAGCCUUCUGUUAGUGUCCAAAAGGCCAUACAGCAUAAGACAGAAACACCUCACAGCUUCCAACCAAAGCCAACAGAGCUGUAACUCUCUCAGAAAUGACUCCAUAUAUCACUCUCAGAAAUACAGAGGACGAGAAACACAAUGUUCUUCCUCAGGCACAAAUGCUGUUAAAAACAGCUUGAAAAGACAGAACGCUGACUUACACAUAACUGAACCCAUUGUGCCGACGGUCCCGCGCCGCGCAAGAGGUCCCAAGAGCCGCAGUGGCCCGCAAACUCAAUUACUCCUGGGUGUCUAACAAGACGUUAUGAGAGGUGCCUGUGCCUCUGAAGCGCAGGUAACACACUGACAUGCUUUCUACAAAUAUCUCUGAGAAUGCCAGAAGCACCGGUAGUUUCCUCUUCCUCUCUCUCCCAGCGAGACAUUCAUCACUGCGCAGCGCUCUGUGGUUAAAGUACGUCAGGAAGAAGUUCUCACAAACACGCAGAUUCCUUUUCCCCUCUCCACCCCAAAACAGAGCCCUGCUACACUCUCUCUCACACACACACACACACACACACACACACACACAUAAACCCCUCCCCACAAUCCUCACACAUGAGACGGCAUCAUGUGGCACUGACUGUUAAAUCUAAACCUAAGGACUUUUUUCAGUCACUUUCACAGUGGAAAACAAAUGUAACGUGCUAAAUUGAGAAGCAAAAAGUGGGAAACCAACCCAAACUGUGAUUUCAUGGAUGUCUGAGCUCUCACUUGUAGGUGAGCUAAUGUUUCAUGGAUAACUUCAGACAUUCCUGUGGAUGGAAACCUUUGUGCGUGUAAAAUAAGGCACUCUUUUACUCGGGAACCGUCUGGAUCUCUGGAAAUCACAGUCAGCCUGACACACACUCCCAUUUGAUUCAGCAUCCAUGAGAAAGACUGCAAAACACUCCUGGCACAGUGAGAGUGGAUGAGAGGGUAAUGUCAUAAAGCUUCAGUGACUGACAAUCUAAUGGAUUCCAUUAGCUGAGAAAACGUGUUUAACGGUGCAAGCUCUUCCAUACGACUGAAGAAUCACUCCCACACUGAGCUUGUGAUAAAAAUGUUAUGCUUGUGUGUAAUGGGACAAGACCUCCCCCAUCAAAAUGGCUUAUUUUAAAGCAAUCCAGAUAAAAAUAAUGUAAUAA